rnacentral:rRNA from 1 species
AGGGUUCGAUUCUGGCUCAGAAUGAACGCUGGCGGCAUGGAUUAGGCAUGCAAGUCGAACGUGCUCCCUUCGGGGAGAAAGUGGCGAAAGGGUGAGUAACACGUGAGCAACCUGCCUCCGGAUCCGGAAUAAUCCAGGGAAACUUGGUCUAAAACCGGAUGAAGACAUUGGUCCGCAUGGUCUAAUGUUAAAAUAUUUAUAGUCCGGAGAGGGGCUCGCGGCCCAUUAGCUUGUUGGCGGGGUAAUGGCCCACCGAGGCUACGACGGGUAGGUGGUCUGAGAGGAUGGUCACCCACACUGGGACUGAGACACUGCCCAGACUCCUACGGGAGGCUGCAGUCGAGAAUCUUCCGCAAUGGGCGCAAGCCCUGACGGAGCGAUGCCGCGUGAGGGAUGAAGGCCUUCGGGUUGUAAACCUCUGUCAUCCGGGACGAAAACAAUGACGGUACCGGAAAAGGAAGCCACGGCUAACCACGUGCCAGCAGCAGC